GAUGAACGCUGGCGGCGUGCCUAAUACAUGCAAGUCGAGCGAACGGACGAGAAGCUUGCUUCUCUGAUGUUAGCGGCGGACGGGUGAGUAACACGUGGAUAACCUACCUAUAAGACUGGGAUAACUUCGGGAAACCGGAGCUAAUACCGGAUAAUAUUUUGAACCGCAUGGUUCAAAAGUGAAAGACGGUCUUGCUGUCACUUAUAGAUGGAUCCGCGCUGCAUUAGCUAGUUGGUAAGGUAACGGCUUACCAAGGCAACGAUGCAUAGCCGACCUGAGAGGGUGAUCGGCCACACUGGAACUGAGACACGGUCCAGACUCCUACGGGAGGCAGCAGUAGGGAAUCUUCCGCAAUGGGCGAAAGCCUGACGGAGCAACGCCGCGUGAGUGAUGAAGGUCUUCGGAUCGUAAAACUCUGUUAUUAGGGAAGAACAUAUGUGUAAGUAACUGUGCACAUCUUGACGGUACCUAAUCAGAAAGCCACGGCUAAGUACGUG
rnacentral:rRNA from 1 species